rnacentral:rRNA from 1 species
CCUAUUUAUCUUUGGCGGCAAUUAAUCUAAUUAAAGGAACUUUGUUUUAUAAAUCGAUAAUACUCGUUUAUUUUCACUUUUAUUAAAAAUUUAUAUACCGCCAUCUUAAGAAUUAAUUUUUAAAAAUCAUUCACUUUUUUUUUUAAAANAAAAAGUUAGGUCAAGGNGNAAUCUAAAUUUUAGAAAAAAUAAGUUACAUUAAAAAUUAUUUAAGAACUUUUCGAUAAAAAUCAAAUACGAAAAAGAAUUUAAAUGUAAUAUUUUAAUAAAAAUUCAAUAUGAAUUAGAUAAUAUAUG